CCAUGAUGAUCCCUUUAGAUGACGAGUCUUAUCGGGGAUUCCCCAUGCAGACAACACUUUUUUUUAUACCAUUCAUGCAACUCUGAAA
rnacentral:snoRNA from 1 species